CACUAUGCCUAGCCCUAAACAUUGACAGUUAACUACACCCACUGCCCGCCUGGGAACUACGAGCAUCAGCUUAAAACCCAAAGGACUUGGCGGUGCUUUAGACCCACCUAGAGGAGCCUGUUCUAGAACCGAUAAUCCCCGUUAAACCUCACCCUUCCUUGCCAUUUCCGCCUAUAUACCACCGUCGUCAGCUUACCCUGUGAAGGCCCCAUAGUAAGCACAAUCGGCACAGCCCAGUACGUCAGGUCGAGGUGUAGCGAAUGGAAGGGGAAGAAAUGGGCUACAUUUACUAAUACAGUAAAUACGGAUGAUCACCCUGCAACGAGUAUCUGAAGGAGGAUUUAGCAGUAAGCAAAAAAUAGAGUGUUUUGCUGAAAUUGGCCCUGAAGCGUGCACACACCGCCCGUCACUCUCUCCGAACUAAAAUUUUUAAAAUAACUAAUACGCUACAACUGUAAAGGAGAGGCAAGUCGUAA
rnacentral:rRNA from 1 species